rnacentral:rRNA from 1 species
GACGAACGCUGGCGGCGUGCUUAACACAUGCAAGUCGAACGGGCCCGCUCUCUUUUUUGGGGGGGGGUUGAGUGGCGAACGGGUGAGUAUCACGUGAGUAACCUGCCCCCUGCUCCUGGAUAACUGCUUGAAAGGGCGGCUAAUACGGGGUGUGCCGGCUGGUCCGCAUGGGCCUGGUCGGGAUAGUUUCAUCUUCGGGUGUUUCGGUGGGGGAUGGGCUCGCGGCCUAUCAGCUUGUUGGUGGGGUGAUGGCCCACCAAGGCGGGGCCGGGUAGCCGGCCUGAGAGGGUGGGCGGCCACACUGGGACUGAGACACGGCCCAGACUCCUGCGGGAGGCAGCAGUGGGGGGUAUUGCACAAUGGGCGGAAGCCUGAUGCAGCGACGUCGCGUGAGGGAUGGAGGCCUUCGGGUUGUGAACCUCUUUCUCCGGUGGUGAAGGCCCUGUCCGUUGCGGCGGGGUUGACGGUAGCCGGGUAUGAAGCGCCGGCUAACUACGUG